UUCAGAGGGGGAUAACGGCUGGAAACGGUCGCUAAUACCGCAUGACGUGUUCGGAUGGCAUCAUCUGAACAUCAAAGAUUUAUCGCUGAAAGAUGGGCUCGCGUCUGAUUAGAUAGUUGGUGGGGUAACGGCCUACCAAGUCGACGAUCAGUAGCCGGACUGAGAGGUUGAACGGCCACAUUGGGACUGAGAUACGGCCCAGACUCCUACGGGAGGCAGCAGUGGGGAAUAUUGCACAAUGGGGGAAACCCUGAUGCAGCAACGCCGCGUGAAGGAUGACGGUUUUCGGAUUGUAAACUUCUUUUCUUAGUGACGAAGACAGUGACGGUAGCUAAGGAAUAAGCAUCGGCUAACUACGUGCCAGCAGCCGCGGUAAUACGUAGGAUGCAAGCGUUAUCCGGAUUUACUGGGUGUAAAGGGAGCGCAGGCGGGACUGCAAGUUGGAUGUGAAAUACCGUGGCUUAACCACGGAACUGCAUCCAAAACUGUAGUUCUUGAGUGAAGUAGAGGCAAGCGGAAUUCCGAGUGUAGCGGUGAAA
rnacentral:rRNA from 1 species